GAAUCAGUACGCUGGUCGUGCCUUCGGUAUGUACUGGUGUCACUGGUUUCUCCCUUCUGAAGAACCAUCAUGCCAUUCACUUGGUGUGGUGGGAAAUCAGGACUGUUACUUUGAAGAAAUUAGAGUGUUUAAGGCAGGCUUGUGCUUGAAUACAUUAGCAUGGGAUAAUGAAAUAGGACU
rnacentral:rRNA from 1 species